GUUGGUAAAACGCCACUGGGGGUACACCUGUUUACAUUUCGAACACAGAAGUUAAGUCCAGUAGGGGCGAUGAUACUCUUAUGGGGAAAGUAGCUCUUUGCCAACA
rnacentral:rRNA from 1 species